rnacentral:rRNA from 1 species
CCUACGGGGGGCUGCAGUGGGGAAUAUUGGACAAUGGGGGGAACCCUGAUCCAGCCAUGCCGCGUGUGUGAAGAAGGCCCUCGGGUUGUAAAGCACUUUCAGUGAGGAAGAACGCCUGGUGGUUAAUACCCAUCAGGAAAGACAUCACUCACAGAAGAAGCACCGGCUAACUCCGUGUCAGCAGCCGCGGUAAUACGGAGGGUGCGAGCGUUAAUCGGAAUUACUGGGCGUAAAGCGCGCGUAGGUGGCUUGAUAAGCCGGUUGUGAAAGCCCCGGGCUCAACCUGGGAACGGCAUCCGGAACUGUCAAGCUAGAGUGCAGGAGAGGAAGGUAGAAUUCCCGGUGUAGCGGUGAAAUGCGUAGAGAUCGGGAGGAAUACCAGUGGCGAAGGCGGCCUUCUGGACUGACACUGACACUGAGGUGCGAAAGCGUGGGUAGCAAACAGGAUUAGAUACCCCUGUAGUC